rnacentral:rRNA from 1 species
UACGUAGGUGACAAGCGUUGUCCGGAUUUACUGGGCGUAAAGCGCCUGUAGGCGGCGGUGCAAGUCCGGCCUGAAAGCCCCCGGCUCAACCGGGGAGGGCGGCUGGAAACUGUGUCGCUUGAGGGCGAGAGAGGAGGGUGGAAUUCCUGGUGUAGCGGUGAAAUGCGUAGAGAUCAGGAGGAACACCCGUGGCGAAGGCGGCCCUCUGGCUCGACCCUGACGCUGAGAGGCGAAAGCGUGGGGAGCGAACAGG